rnacentral:rRNA from 1 species
UACGAAGGGGGCUAGCGUUGUUCGGAAUUACUGGGCGUAAAGCGCACGUAGGCGGAUAUUUAAGUCAGGGGUGAAAUCCCAGAGCUCAACUCUGGAACUGCCUUUGAUACUGGGUAUCUCGAGUAUGGAAGAGGUGAGUGGAAUUCCGAGUGUAGAGGUGAAAUUCGUAGAUAUUCGGAGGAACACCAGUGGCGAAGGCGGCUCACUGGUCCAUUACUGACGCUGAGGUGCGAAAGCUAGGGGAGCGAAAGGG